AGUGAACGCUGGCGGUAGGCCUAACACAUGCAAGUCGAACGGCAGCACAGUAAGAGCUUGCUCUUACGGGUGGCGAGUGGCGGACGGGUGAGGAAUACAUCGGAAUCUACUUUUUCGUGGGGGAUAACGUAGGGAAACUUACGCUAAUACCGCAUACGACCUACGGGUGAAAGCAGGGGAUCUUCGGACCUUGCGCGAUUGAAUGAGCCGAUGUCGGAUUAGCUAGUUGGCGGGGUAAAGGCCCACCAAGGCGACGAUCCGUAGCUGGUCUGAGAGGAUGAUCAGCCACACUGGAACUGAGAAACGGUCAAGACUCCUACGGGAGGCAGCAGUGGGGAAUAUUGGACAAUGGGCGCAAGCCUGAUCCAGCCAUACCGCGUGGGUGAAGAAGGCCUUCGGGUUGUAAAGCCGUUUUGUUGGGAAAGAAAAGCAGCAGGUUAAUACCCCGCUGUUCUGACGGUACCCAAAGAAUAAGCACCGGCUAACUUCGUG
rnacentral:rRNA from 1 species